AGUGAAGAGAUGGGCAAGUGUAAAUGAGUUCAUGAUAUUUUUCAAGUGCAUCUCAUCAAGCGUGUGAAAUGUAUUUCUCAUCUUGUUUAAAAAGAGGGAAAAAGGAGCCCACCAACUAAGCAUUAACACAAUGCUUCUAUGUUUGAUUUGAUUGCAUUUACUUGUUCAUUAAUAUAAUUGAUGUGUAUGGUUUGCCUUAAGUUUUCAGGUGCUCUGUGCUAAUUAACGUGACAUUUGCUCACGUUACAUAUUAUUAGUGUUACAGAAUGGAGAGACUCAUGCCUGAAACCAAGAGAGGUUUGCCUAAGUGUAAAGAGGAAGGUGAACAGCUUUAGGUGAAAUGAUGGGACAUCUAAUGGCCACGGAAGACCAGGACUCCAAAGAUGAUGUGUUCAAAUUCUUGAAACUGACCUUUUCAGAACUUAUGGAUGGUAGGUGCCAGAACUUGGAGGCAAGGAUUUUCUGCAGAUCUGGAUGAAUUACCUGAAAAGUGGAAGAACCUUAAAAAGAUUGCCUUCACAGUAACCAUGAAGUGGUACCUCUGCAGUCCAAUGAAGUGUCUGUUAUCAGAAGAAAACGUGUACUUUUGGAGGACUAUACAGCGAUCCUUCAUGGUCAUACAAUGAUCCUUCAUGAUCCUCAAACAUGAAGAGGUACUCCUCUACCAUCUUUCCCACUGGGACAAAGAUUACUGACAAAAAAGAUGGAAAAGGUGAAGACAACAAAUUUCUGGACAAAGCAUAAACAUUCUCACAUUGUGUAUCAAGGUAGUGGCAGAUGAUGGAAAACAAAACCUCUCUGGGCAAACUAAUGGAGAUGUUGCAAAAUUAUAGGUUGAACUGCAAAUGCUUCUAGCUACAUCUUUCUAAAGUGUGCAUAACUGAUUAUAUAGAUGACUGAAGUAUGCCAUUUUUCUAAAGACUAUGUCAUACAGUGGCCGUUGAAAAGUAAGGCCUCCUCUCUUUAUUUACCUUCAUGUAAGGAAAAGGAGAGAGAACAUCCCCAGAGAGGAAAGGAUACAGAGUUUCAGAUGUUUAUUAUUGUUCAAUUUAGCUGAAUUUAGAGACCCCUUAGAUGGUUGAUAUAAGAGGGAAAAAGAGGCUUGGAAAUUUAUUCCAUUUAAUUUCUUUUUAUUUUCUUGUGGUUACUGCAUGCUUUUAAAAAGCCCUCUAUUUUCUCAUUUGAAUAUUAGUGCAUUUUAAAGUACAAUUCUAAAUUAUUUAUGCACAUGUAAGCAAAAAUGAUUGAA